GACGGAGGAUGCAAGCGUUAUCCGGAAUGAUUGGGCGUAAAGCGUCCGCAGGUGGCAGUUCAAGUCUGCUGUCAAAGACCGGGGCUUAACUCUGUAAAGGCGGUGGAAACUGUAGGUCUUGAGUAUGGUAGGGGUAGAGGGAAUUCCCGGUGUAGCGGUGAAAUGCGUAGAUAUCGGGAAGAACACCAGUGGCGAAAGCGCUCUACUGGGCCAUAACUGACACUGAGGGACGAAAGCUAGGGGAGCGAAUGGG
rnacentral:rRNA from 1 species